rnacentral:sRNA from 1 species
AUGUACAGCUUUAACGCUCCGGGUCUGAGUGCGCCGUCUGCACCCACCUGACGAUUGCUCGCUACGUUUUGUCAGUC